rnacentral:rRNA from 1 species
CUUGGCGACGAUAGCGAACGGGAACCACCCGAUCCCAUUCCGAACUCGGAAGUGAAAACGUUCAGCGCCGAUGAUAGUGUGGAUUGCCCAUGCGAAAGUAGGACAUUGCCAAGC